rnacentral:rRNA from 1 species
AGAGACCGGCGCACGGGUGCGUAACGCGUAUGCAAUCUACCUUUUACAGAGGGAUAGCCCAGAGAAAUUUGGAUUAAUACCUCAUAGUAUUAUGAAAUGGCAUCAUUUUAUAAUUAAAGUCACAACGGUAAAAGAUGAGCAUGCGUCCCAUUAGCUAGUUGGUAAGGUAACGGCUUACCAAGGCAACGAUGGGUAGGGGUCCUGAGAGGGAGAUCCCCCACACUGGUACUGAGACACGGACCAGACUCCUACGGGAGGCAGCAGUGAGGAAUAUUGGACAAUGGGCGCAAGCCUGAUCCAGCCAUGCCGCGUGCAGGAUGACGGUCCUAUGGAUUGUAAACUGCUUUUGUACGAGAAGAAACACUACUUCGUGAAGUAGCUUGACGGUAUCGUAAGAAUAAGGAUCGGCUAACUCCGUGCCAGCAGCCGCGGUAAUACGGAGGAUCCAAGCGUUAUCCGGAAUCAUUGGGUUUAAAGGGUCCGUAGGCGGUUUAGUAAGUCAGUGGUGAAAGCCCAUCGCUCAACGGUGGAACGGCCAUUGAUACUGCUAGACUUGAAUUAUUAGGAAGUAACUAGAAUAUGUAGUGUAGCGGUGAAAUGCUUAGAGAUUACAUGGAAUACCAAUUGCGAAGGCAGGUUACUACUAAUUGAUUGACGCUGAUGGACGAAAGCGUGGGUAGCGAACAGGAUUAGAUACCCUGGUAGUCCACGCCGUAAACGAUGGAUACUAGCUGUUGGGAGCAAUUUCAGUGGCUA